GGGGAAUAUUGCACAAUGGGCGAAAGCCUGAUGCAGCGACGCCGCGUGAGGGAUGAAGGCCUUCGGGUUGUAAACCUCUUUCAGUAGGGAAGAAGCGAAAGUGACGGUACCUGCAGAAGAAGCGCCGGCUAACUACGUGCCAGCAGCCGCGGUAAUACGUAGGGCGCAAGCGUUGUCCGGAAUUAUUGGGCGUAAAGAGCUCGUAGGCGGUUUGUCGCGUCUGGUGUGAAAACUCAAGGCUCAACCUUGAGCUUGCAUCGGGUACGGGCAGACUAGAGUGUGGUAGGGGUGACUGGAAUUCCUGGUGUAGCGGUGGAAUGCGCAGAUAUCAGGAGGAACACCGAUGGCGAAGGCAGGUCACUGGGCCACUACUGACGCUGAGGAGCGAAAGCAUGGGGAGCGAAC
rnacentral:rRNA from 1 species